CCCUUAGAUGUUCUGGGCCGCACGCGUGCUACACUGAGUAAUUCAAUGGGUAAGGGAACGCUAGAGCAUUACCUAAUCUUGAAAUUUGCUCGUGAUGGGGAUCGACGGUUGCAAUUUUCCGUCGUGAACGAGGAAUACCUUGUAGGCGCAUGUCAUCAUCAUGCGCCGAAUACGUCCCUGCCCUUUGUACACACCGCCCGUCGCUCCUACCGAUUGAGUGAUCCGGUGAGGCUCUGGGACCUGGACGGAAAGAGCGUUUCGCUUGUUCUGUUUGGGAAACUUGGUCGAACCUUAUCAUUUAGAGGAAGGAGAAGUCGUAAC
rnacentral:rRNA from 1 species